GCUCCAAUGGGUCAGCGGGAGACCGGCCUGAUCAUUGUCAUCAUAGUACAUUCCAUAGUAUUUUGGGCAGAGGUGGGUUCAACUCCCGCUUGGAGCA